rnacentral:rRNA from 1 species
AAUAGAUACCCCGGUAGUCCUGGCCCUAAACGAUGUCCACUAGAUUACGGCGCCUUUGACGGCGUCGUGGUCGAAGCAAAAGUGUUAAGUGGACCGCCUGGGAAGUACGGUCGCAAGGCUAAAACUCAAAGGAAUUGACGGGGGCUCACACAAGCGGUGGAGCAUGUGGUUCAAUUCGAAGCAACGCGCAGAACCUUACCUGGGCUUGACAUGCUCGGAUUACCCUCGUGAAAGCGAGGUAGGCCCCGCAAGGGGUACAACGAGUACAGGUGCUGCAUGGCUGUCGUCAGCCCGUGUCGUGAGAUGUCGGGUUAAGUCCCGCAACGAGCGCAACCCUCGUUCCAUGUUGCCAGCACUUCGGGUGGGGACUCAUAGGAGACUGCCGGGGUCAACUCGGAGGAAGGUGGGGAUGACGUCAAGUCCUCAUGCCCCUUAUGUCUUGGGCUGCAAACAUGCUACAAUGGCCGGUACAAAGGGUUGCGAGACCGCAAGGUGGAGCGAAUCCCGAAAAAGCCGGUCUCAGUUCGGAUUGGGGUCUGCAACUCGACCCC